ensembl:lncRNA INTS6-AS1 INTS6 antisense RNA 1
CCGUGGGAGGGAAGGCACUCUCUGUCAAGCUGCUGUCACCUUACCUGAAGUAAGGAGUCCACGCCUGCAUGUCCGAGGAAAACAGUUUUCUCAAACACAUUAGUUGAAAAACUGAAGACGCUGCCUAAAAUACAAGCUGAGUUAGAGACAGCCCUUGUAAGACUAGCUUCCAAAAGCAGAGGCUCGCUCUUUCCUUGCCUAACGCAGCCAUGGCUUGUGGUCCCAAGAAGCAUCUGAAGUGAGUAGCAGCUCCAAAGCACUGGAUGCUGGAUAAAUUGACCAGUAUGUUUGCUCCUUGUCCAUCCACCAGUCCCCACAAGUUGAGAGUGUCUUCCCCUCAUCAUUUUCCUAAGGAACAGACUUAAGUAUGCCCUGGAAGGAGAUGAAGUAAAGAAGAUUUGCAUGCAGCGGUUUAUUAAAAUUGAUGGCAAGGUCUAAACUGAUAUAACCUACCCUGCUGGAUUCAUGGAGGCCAUCAGCAUUGACAAGACAGAAGAGAAUUUCUCUCUGAUCUAUGACACCAAGAGUCUCUUUGCUGUACAUCAUAUUACACCUGAGGAGGCCAAGUACAAGUUGUGCAAAGUGAGAAAAAUCUUUCUGGGAACAAAAGGAAUCCCUCAUCUGGUGACUCAUGAUGGUCGCACCAUCCGCUACACUGAUCCCCUUAUCAAGGUGAAUGAUACCAUUCAGAUUGAUUU